UCAGUUUGUCGUCAAGGAUUUAUUCUUAUUUGUCAUUGUGGUAGGAGAGCUUCUGCUACUAGGAUUAGGCGCUGCCCUGAUGUACUGGAAAACUGGCAAGAUGGCUGCUACCGAAACCACAAUCCCACAUCUGU